UUGUUUGGCAGUGGAACAACAUGAAAUCUUUCGAUAGUCAUUUGGAUUGACUGCACAGAACAGCAUGUUGAUUGCUUUGGCAUUAUUUUCCACCUUUUUGAUAUCGUCCGCGGUAUAUUCUUCUUCUAGCUUUGGGACAAUUUUAUCACCCUCUACUUUGGUGGGAACCUGUUCGCCAUUUUUAAUAAUUUUCCAAAUUAGAAAAUUAUUAGCCUGGAUGAAUAUCCUCAUCCUUUCCUUCCAGUAGGUGUAGUUUGUUCCAUCAAACAGAGGUGGUCUUGUGGUGCAAGAUCCUUCGCCCAUUCCUGCACAGAGGUGUCAACCGGUUCCACCG
rnacentral:lncRNA from 1 species